rnacentral:rRNA from 1 species
UACGUAGGGCGCAAGCGUUAUCCGGAAUUAUUGGGCGUAAAGAGCUCGUAGGCGGUUUGUCGCGUCUGCCGUGAAAGUCCGGGGCUCAACUCCGGAUCUGCGGUGGGUACGGGGCAGACUAGAGUGAUGUAGGGGAGACUGGAAUUCCUGGUGUAGCGGUGAAAAUGCGCAGAUAUCAGGAGGAACACCGAUGGCGAAGGCAGGUCUCUGGGCCACUACUGACGCUGAGAAGCGAAAAGCAUGGGGAGCGAAACAGG